GUGCUCACUUCAGCAGCACACAUACUAAAAUUAGAACUAUACUGAGAUUAGCAUGGCCCCUGUGCAAGGAUACCACACAAAUUCAUGAAGUGUUCCAUAUUUUU